GACGAACGCUGGCGGCGUGCUUAACACAUGCAAGUCGAACGGAAAGGCCCUGCUUUUGUGGUGUGCUCGAGUGGCGAACGGGUGAGUAACACGUGAGUAACCUGCCCUUGACUUUGGGAUAACUUCAGGAAACUGGGGCUAAUACCGGAUAGGAGCUCCUGCUGCAUGGUGGGGGUUGGAAAGUUUCGGCUGUUGGGGAUGGACUCGCGGCUUAUCAGCUUGUUGGUGGGGUAGUGGCUUACCAAGGCUUUGACGGGUAGCCGGCCUGAGAGGGUGACCGGCCACAUUGGGACUGAGAUACGGCCCAGACUCCUACGGGAGGCAGCAGUGGGGAAUAUUGCACAAUGGGCGGAAGCCUGAUGCAGCAACGCCGCGUGCGUGAUGACGGCCUUCGGGUUGUAAACCGCUUUCGCCUGUGACGAAGCGUGAGUGACGGUAAUGGGUAAAGAAGCACCGGCUAACUACGUG
rnacentral:rRNA from 1 species